rnacentral:sRNA from 1 species
GCCAGGCAUGGUGGCACAUGCCUGUAAUCCCAGGUGUUCAGGAGGCUGAGGCAGGAGGAUCCCAAGUUCAAAGCCAACACCAGCAAUUUAGUGAGACCCUCAGCAACUUAAUGAGACCCUGUUUCAA